GAAAUGCGAUACGUGAUGUGAAUUGCAGAAUCUCGUGAAUCAUCGAAUCUUUGAACGCACAUUGCACUCUAGCUUGCUAGAGUAUGCCUGUUUGAGAAUCUAAUGUAUCUCUUCCAGUUUGAUGGGUCUCGGCCCGUUGAGUGGAGAUUUGGGGCAUCUGUCUGAUCAAGACAGUGCGCUGAAUUAGAUUAUCCAGCAGUAGCGCUGUGUGAUGACGGUCUACAAAAGUCUGCUGAAAAGUAUAUGCAUGGAACUCUGGUUUCUCAUAGUACCUAAUAAGCAACGGUAGUGCCCAGCACAACGAUUACUGCUGGUUUCCAACCAGAGUUUUCUGCAAAGAAAACUGAACCAUGGUCUCAAAUCAGGUAGGACUACCCGCUGAACUUAA
rnacentral:misc_RNA from 1 species